AGUGAACGCUGGCGGCAGGCCUAACACAUGCAAGUCGAGCGGCAGCGCGGGGGCAACCCUGGCGGCGAGCGGCGGACGGGUGAGGAAUUCGUCGGAAUCUGCCUUUUUGUGGGGGAUAACGUAGGGAAACUUACGCUAAUACCGCAUCCGUCCUACGGGAGAAAGUGGGGGACCGCAAGGCCUCACCCAGAAAGAUGAGCCGACGACCGAUUAGCUAGUUGGUGGGGUAAAGGCCCACCAAGGCGACGAUCGGUAGCUGGUCUGAGAGGAUGAUCAGCCACACUGGGACUGAGACACGGCCCAGACUCCUACGGGAGGCAGCAGUGGGGAAUAUUGGACAAUGGGCGCAAGCCUGAUCCAGCCAUGCCGCGUGUGUGAAGAAGGCCUUCGGGUUGUAAAGCACUUUUGUCCGGAAAGAAAUCCCUGGAGCUAAUACCUUCGGGGGAUGACGGUACCGGAAGAAUAAGCACCGGCUAACUUCGUG
rnacentral:rRNA from 1 species